AGGUAUCAUACAUAGGUUGGGAAGGUUAAGAUACCUCAGUUGCCCAAGCUUCACAAUGCUAUCAGGAAGAUACACCAAAUUUAUACAUCCACGAAUAUCAAGGUGCUUGAGUUGAUGCAACGAUUCAAACAAAGCCACAUCUUCAGACACUACAGAUAAGAGUCCGCAGACUAGAAAAAGGCAAGUCCCGGAGCAGACGGAAGCAGAUGUUGGGAGGGCCGAGUCUGUGACAACGGCUGGAGUUUGGGAAGAGGAUGCGACGGCCGUGACGGCUUUGGACGGCUUACUCCCGGAGGCACAGCUUGCAGCGGCCGGAUGGCAUGCAACAACCGUGAGAGGAGAGGCAGAAGGAGAGGAAAUCGUGGGUGCUCGCAGUUUGGAUAUGGGCCUAAUCUCCAUGGCCUAUUUUACUUAUUUGUCUUUAAUUAGUGUUAAGUAUGGCUAAUCCUUUAGGAUUCAGGCAAAAAAAGUUUUGGGAAAGCACAGAAGCACUCGCCUUAAUUUUCAUGUGUUGGCUUUGCCCCAAGAUCGAUCACAUGAAA